rnacentral:rRNA from 1 species
CCUACGGUGGCUGCAGUGGGGAAUAUUGGACAAUGGGCGAAAGCCUGAUCCAGCCAUGCCGCGUGUGUGAAGAAGGCCUUCGGGUUGUAAAGCACUUUCAGUGGGGAAGAAAGCCUUGGGGCUAAUACCCUCGAGGAAGGACAUCACCCACAGAAGAAGCACCGGCUAACUCCGUGCCAGCAGCCGCGGUAAUACGGAGGGUGCGAGCGUUAAUCGGAAUUACUGGGCGUAAAGCGCGCGUAGGCGGUCUGAUAAGCCGGUUGUGAAAGCCCCGGGCUCAACCUGGGAACGGCAUCCGGAACUGUCAGGCUAGAGUGCAGGAGAGGAAGGUAGAAUUCCCGGUGUAGCAGUGAAAUGCGUAGAGAUCGGGAGGAAUACCAGUGGCGAAGGCGGCCUUCUGGACUGACACUGACGCUGAGGUGCGAAAGCGUGGGUAGCAAACAGGAUUAGAUACCCUGGUAGUC